rnacentral:rRNA from 1 species
CCUACGGGUGGCAGCAGUGAGGAAUAUUGGUCAAUGGCCGGAAGGCUGAACCAGCCAUGCCGCGUGAAGGUCAGUGCCCUAUGGGCGUUAAACUUCUUUUGUGCGGGAGCAAUAAUGGUCACGUGUGGCCAGACGAGAGUACCGUACGAAUAAGCAUCGGCUAACUCCGUGCCAGCAGCCGCGGGAAUACGGGGGAUGCAAGCGUUUGCCGGAUUUAUUGGGGUUAAAGGGUGCGUAGGCUGGGAGGUAAGUCAGCGGGGAAAUGCCCCCGCUAGACGGGGUGAAGUGCCAUUGAUACUGCCUUGCUGGAAUGCGGAUGCCGUGGGAGGAAUGUGGGAUGUAGCGGUGAAAUGCAUAGAUAUCACACAGAACACCGAUUGCGAAGGCAUCUCACGAAUCCGCGAUUGACGCUGAUGCACGAAAGCGUGGGUAUCAAACAGGAUUAGAUACCCCAGUAGUC